rnacentral:miRNA from 1 species
AUCACCUGGGGAUAUUGUGAGAAUGCAGAUUCUAGUUCUGUAGGACUGGAAUGGGGCCUGAGAUUCUGGAUUUCUAACAAGUUUCCAGGUGGUG